AAUCGAAGUUAAAGGACUGCUUGUGUUUCCUGGGUGAUACUGAAUAAGUAAAAAGGACGAAGAGACGGACCCACGAUUUGCGCCAGAGUUCAAAAUUUUCAAGGGUUUCUUCCUCUUCGACUCUCUUCAGCUGGCCGGCGGCUUCUUACCAACAGCAUGGAUCCAGUUCUUCAGUGUGCAUCCAGAGGAUAAGAAUGAAGCAGGAUGUGGUGGCCAUGUCUAUAAUCCCAGCUACUUGGGACACUGAAGUAGGAGGAUCACAGAGCCAAACACAGUGAAGCUCUUCUGUCAUCCUGGUCACUCAGGAGGUUGAAGCUAGAGAACCACAAGCUUGAGGCCAGCCUCAACAA